UACAGAGGUGGCAAGCGUUGUUCGGAAUUAUUGGGCGUAAAGAGCUCGUAGGCGGUGUGUCGCGUCGGCCGUGAAAACCUGCAGCUUAACUGUGGGCUUGCGGUCGAUACGGGCAUCACUGGAGUUCGGCAGGGGAGACUGGAAUUCCUGGUGUAGCGGUGAAAUGCGCAGAUAUCAGGAGGAACACCGGUGGCGAAGGCGGGUCUCUGGGCCGAUACUGACGCUGAGGAGCGAAAGCGUGGGGAGCGAACAGG
rnacentral:rRNA from 1 species